UACGUAGGUGGCAAGCGUUGUCCGGAUUUACUGGGCGUAAAGAGCUCGUAGGCGGGGAGGUAAGUCGGGUGUGAAAUCCUUCGGCCCAACCGAGGAACUGCGCCCGAGACUGCUUCUCUUGAGUCCCGGAGAGGAAGAUGGAAUUCCCGGUGUAGCGGUGAAAUGUGUAGAGAUCGGGAGGAACACCGGUGGCGAAGGCGGUCUUCUGGACGGUGACUGACGCUGAGGCGCGAAAGCGUGGGGAGCAAACGGG
rnacentral:rRNA from 1 species